AUUGAACGCUGGCGGCAUGCCUUACACAUGCAAGUCGAACGGCCGCACGGGGGGUAACCCCUGGUGGCGAGUGGCGAACGGGUGAGUAAUAUAUCGGAACGUGUCCUCUAGCGGGGGAUAACCUAUCGAAAGAUGGACUAAUACCACAUACGACCUUCUGGUGAAAGCGGAGGCCCUCAAGGCUUCGCACUAUAGGAGCGGCCGAUAUCGGAUUAGCUAGUUGGCGGGGUAACGGCCCACCAAGGCGAUGCUCCGUAGCUGGUCUGAGAGCACGAUCAGCACCACUGGAACUGAGACACGGCCCAGACUCCAACGGGAGGCAGCGGUGGGGAAUUUUGGAAAAUGGGCGAAAGCCUGAGCCAGAAAUGCGGCGUGAGUGAAGAAGGCCUUCGGGUUGUAAAGCUUUUUCGGCGGGGACGAAAAGGUUCGUGCUAAUACCACGGACUACUGAGGGUACCCGCAGAAGAAGCACCGGCUAACUACGU
rnacentral:rRNA from 1 species